CCUCCAAAGUCUCUAUCCCAUGAUUGAGACCCCCAGAUAGGUCAAGGUUUCGGUCUGCUCAAAGAUUUCUAGCCUGUCUCGAAUCGCCUACUUCACUUGAAUCUUCAUCUUGGGACUGAAGGUGAUCGUGGACUUCUGCAGAUUCACAAGCUGGCCAGAGGUACGAUAGUAUGCCUCCAUAAUUGAUACGAAACACCUCACAUUCCUGACAGAGGCCCAACUAAUAAGCAAGCAAUCAUCUGCAAAGAGGUGUGAGAGUGACUGAACCCUAGAGCCAAGCCAGUAGGGUUCCAACUCAGCCUUUUGGACCGCUGUUCGAAGAGCAUAAGAAAGAGCAUCAGCAUAUAAAAUAAAUAGAUAGGGCAAAAGAGGAUACUCUUGACACAGACCGCC
rnacentral:lncRNA from 1 species